rnacentral:rRNA from 1 species
UACGAAGGGGGCUAGCGUUGCUCGGAAUUACUGGGCGUAAAGCGCACGUAGGCGGUCUUUUAAGUCGGGGGUGAAAUCCUGGAGCUCAACUCCAGAACUGCCUUCGAUACUGGAAGACUUGAGUCCGGGAGAGGUGAGUGGAAUUCCCAGUGUAGAGGUGAAAUUCGUAGAUAUUGGGAAGAACACCGGUGGCGAAGGCGGCUCACUGGCUCGUAACUGACGCUCAUGCACGACAGCGUGGGGAUCAAACAGG